GAGUGAAGCGGCAAAAGCUUAAAUUUGAAAUCUGGCACUAGCCCGAGUUGUAAUUUGUAGAGGAUGCACAUCUUCAGCAAGAGGCUUUGAGUCUAAGUUCCCUGGAACGGGAUAUCAUGGAGGGUGAGAAUCCCGUACAUGGUUCAUUGUCUCUUGCAUCAUGAAGCUCCUUCAACGAGUCGAGUUGUUUGGGAAUGCAGCUCAAAACAGGAGGUAAAUUCCUUCCAAAGCUAAAUAUUAGCCAGAGACCGAUAGCGAACAAGUAGAGUGAUCGAAAGAUGAAAAGCACUUUGGAAAGAGAGUUAAAAAGUAUGUGAAAUUGUUGAAAGGGAAGCGCUUGCAACCAGAUUUUUCACUGUAGGUUAGAUCAUCUAGGCUCUUUGGCCUAGUGUACUCUACCUAUAUUGUGUGCCAGCAUCGGUUUGUUAGUCGAGAGAAAAAGGUAGUGUGUUGUCAAUUCCUCCGGGUAUUUGGCAUGCAUUUACAGGUACAUCUUGAACCCAGACCGAGGACAGCGCUUUUGGCAUGGAUGCUGGUGUAAUGGUUGUAAGC
rnacentral:rRNA from 1 species